UGGCCUGCGCUGCUCCGGGCUCGGCCAAUGGGCGCAGCGGUUGUUGCCCGGUGCUGGUGGCUGACUAAGAUGGCGGAGCGUUUUGCUUGAGGCGUCGACUGCAGGAACCGGGGCCCCAGUUUGGAUUUUAGGCUGAAAAACCCAGCACUCAAAGAUGAAGGUGGUAAACCUGAGGCAAGCCAUUCUCCAGGCAUGGAAGGAACGAUGGACAGACUAUCAAUGGGCCAUAAACAUGAAAAAUCUUUUUCCAAAGGGUCCAACCUGGGACCUCCUUGGACUCUCAGAUCAUUUGCUGGAACAAGCGUUGGUUGGCCCUUCACCAAAUCCACUGAUUAUGUCCUAUUUGAAGUAUGCAAUUAGUUCACAGAUGGUGUCUUACGCAAGCGUGAUGUCUUCUAUUGCAAAGUUUGAAGAUUACUCCAGGGAAUUGUGUGUUAAAGCUCUAUUAGAACUGAUGGACAUGUUUUGUGAUCGACUCAGCUGUCAAGGAAAAGCAGAAGAAUGCAUAAGUCUCUGUCGUGCUUUGCUAAGCACACUAGGAUGGCUGCUGAAGUGUGCUGCUCAUUUUACUGAAAGGCUGAAAGAGGGGCCAGAUGCAUCUUCCGGAGAAGAACAGCUCCAACUCUGUGUUAACCGGAUUGAGAAAGUAGUGAUCAGGAGAAAGAAUAGAGCUCUUCUUCAUAUAGCGAGACUGGAAGAGCCAGUUACGUGGGCUAAUGUGGAGCAAGCAUUCAUCAAGCUAACAGAACACUGUAACAAAAUAAGUAAUCAGCAGCUCCGACUAAAGCUGGAUGAAUGCAUUGGAUUGAUUAAGAGUAUUUCAGUCAUAACAACGCAGACUGAGCAGAACACCAAGAUGGAAUUCCCAACUGUUCAUGCCUUGAUUAUAUUGGAAGGAACUCUAAAUCUCACAUCUGAUACCCAAUCACUUGUUGAACAACUGAUCAUGGUGAAAAGAAUGCAGCGAAUCCCCUCGCCUCUCUUUUUACUGGAAAUCUGGAAGGCCUGUUUUGUCGGUCUUAUUGAAUCCCCAGAGGGAACUCAAGAGUUAAAAUGGACGGCAUUCACAUUCCUCAAGAUUCCACAGGCAUUACUGAAGCUCAAGGAAUACCCUCUUGGCGAUAAAGACUUCACUGAAGAUGUGAACACUGCCUUUGAGUUUUUGCUUAAACUUACUCCACUUUUGGACAAAGCAGAUCAGCGAUGCAACUGUGACUGCGUCAGUCUCCUGCUUCAGGAAUGUGGGAAACUAGGGUUGCUUUCAGAGGACAACAUGAAUAACCUGGUUAACAAAAGGACAGCAGAUAGAGAGCUGGCUCCCCAACUAAAAUCUGCUGAAAAUGCCAGCAUUCAGCCCAACCCAGGCCUGAUUCUGCGUGCAGAGCCCACCGUCACAAAUAUUUUAAAGACCAUGGAUGCGGACCACUCCAAAUCCCCCGAGGGGUUGUUGGGAGUCCUGGGUCACAUGCUUUCAGGGAAGAGCCUGGAUUUACUGUUAGCAGCUGCUGCAGCUACUGGAAAAUUGAAAUCUUUUGCCCGGAAGUUUGUCAAGUUAAAUGAGUUUGCCAAGAACAUCACUAUGGAAGGAUCAAAAGCAGCCUCUGUGCGAGCAUUACUGUUUGACAUUUCCUUCCUCAUGUUGUGUCAUGUUGCUCAGACUUAUGGAUCUGAUGUAAUUCUGUCGGAGCCCUGUGCGUCAGGGGAGGUGGUCUUCUUUGAGACCUGGAUGCUGACUUGCAUGCCCGAGGAAGGGAAAAUUCUAAAUCCAGAGCAAGGCUUUCGUGCCGAUCCCACUAAAGUAGAAUCGCUGAUGACGCAUCUCAACUCCUCUGCUGAAAUGAAACUUGUGCAGGUGAAGUGGCAUGAAGUAUGCUCUUGUACACCAGCUGCUAUUCUGGAGGUCCUAAAUGCCUGGGAACAUGGCCUACUGACAUUGGAAGCUGUGCAGAAAAUCACCGAUAACAUCAAGGGGAAGAUUUGCAGCAUGGCUAUCUGUGCAGUAGCAUGGUUAGUAGCGCACGUUAGGAUGUUGGGUCUGGAGGAGCGUGAGAAACCAUUGCAAAUGAUUUUCCAGCUUGUGACACCACUCUAUGCAGAGAACACCCUUCAAUUCUACAAUGAAAGAGUUGCUAUCAUGAACCUGAUCCUGGAGCAGAUGUGUGCCGACGUCUUGCAGCAGACAGCAACCUCCAUAAUGUUUCCCACAGCAAACCUGGGCCCCAUCCCAUACCGCAACCUGCUGCCAGUGAAGAUGCCAAUUAAAGAGGUGCUCAUUACCAAUUUCAACAAUGUACUGAAUAAAGGCUGGGUCGACAGCCGCACUAUCCACGUAUUUGAGGCGCUGCUACAUAUGGGAGGAGUAUACUGGUUCUGCAAUAACUUGGUCAAGGAAUUAUUGAAGGAGACAAGGAAGGAACACUGUUACAAAGCUGUUGAACUCCUACAUAGUGUGUUUUGCUUGGACAUGCAACAGAUCACCUUGGUCCUGCUGGGCCAUAUCCUGCCUGGGCUCCUGACCAAUUCCCUGAAGUGGCAGACCCUCAUGGAUCCACCCGGAAGAGCUCUUGCCAAGCUCUCGGUCUGGUGUUCUCUGAGCUCUCAUUCCACUCAUAACAAGGGUCAGGCCACAGCCAAGCAGAGGAAAAGACACAGAGAGGAUAUUGAGGACUACAUCAAUUUGUUUCCUCUGGAUGAUAGCCAACCAUCAAAACUGUUACGAUUGUUAAGCUCGAAUGAAGAGGAUCCGAAUAUCCUUUCCAGUCCUGGUGACCGUUCAAUGAGCAGCUCACUGACUGCCUCUCAGCUUCACAACAUAAAUAUGAGAGAUCCCUUGAACAGAGUAUUGGCAAACCUGUUCCUUUUGAUUUCCACAAUCCUGAGCUCAAAGGUGGCUGGUCCACAUACUCAGUUUGUUCAGUGGUUUAUGGAAGAGUGUGUGGAGUGCUUGGACCAAGGAAGUCGUGGUAGCAUUCUCCAGUUCAUGCCUUUUACCAUGGUUUCUGAGCUCGUGAAGUUGCCUGCCCUAUCCAAACCAAAAACAGUACUUGCUAUAACUGAUUUGGGCCUCCCUCUGGGACGUAGGGUUGCCGCAAAGGCGAUUGCUGCACUUUAACGGCUGGCUGGUGAGUCUCUGGGCACGUGAUACAGUGGAGUUGCCUUCACGAACUGCAGUUACUGGUUUACACCGAAGAUAGACACACAAUGCUGGAGUAAUUCAGCAAGACAGGCUGCACCCCUGGAUACAAGGAAUGGGCGAUGUUUCGGGUCAAGAUCCUUCUUCAGACCGGAAACUAUUUUUUUGUUAAUAUUGUUUAGUAUGGUAUUGACAUCAAUUGUUAAAACCCUAAAUGACUGAACACUGUGCAGCAAAUUGCCUAAACAAGAAAUGGUCACUGUAAUGAAUAUGUGAGAGACAGGCUGGACUCGAUGGAAUUGAAGUGAACGAUGGUGCUGAAAGCAGAUAAAGAUGAUGUUUUUUUUACCAUAUAUUUAGGGUUGCAUUUCUCAGGCAGUGGCGAGAUUAGUCCCAACAUUCAUUAAAAGAAUAAAGAAAAAUACAUAAAGUACACUUGUGAAAUGUAGAGUAUAGGAAGUUGGGUAAAACCUGGGCUCGUUAGAGAGAUUUUUAUUUUAUUUUUAAGUGAGAGGGUUUAAAUCUUCCUGCUUAUUUGAGUGUAUAAGAUGUGGCUAGAAACACCCAUAGUUAGAGGACUGGAACUUCAAUCGCCAUCAGCAUGUACACUCCAUAGGAAACUUGGAAGGACUGCUAAUGUGAUUUUUAUAACCUCAAACCAACUGGGGAUUGUAACUAGCAAAUAAACAGUUUGAUAAUGAGUUGAUCUCUUGAUUACUUAUUCUUUUGUGAAUUUGUUACACAUUCUACAUUUUAUAUUUAAGUCAUUUUAAAAAUCAUAUUUAAAAUGAUAUUAAAAUCAUAGUAAACUGUUUGUGUUUUCCUCGGACAACUGUUUGCCAGUUAUGUUCACCGCUGCUGAAAGAUUUGCUGGGAUUUCAAAAGAUACAAUAAAUUGAUUUCAUACAAA